rnacentral:rRNA from 1 species
GACGAACGCUGGCGGCGUGCUUAACACAUGCAAGUCGAACGGAAAGGCCCUGCUUUUGUGGGGUGCUCGAGUGGCGAACGGGUGAGUAACACGUGAGUAACCUGCCCUUGACUUUGGGAUAACUUCAGGAAACUGGGGCUAAUACCGGAUAUGAGCUCCUGCUGCAUGGUGGGGGUUGGAAAGUUUCGGCGGUUGGGGAUGGACUCGCGGCUUAUCAGCUUGUUGGUGGGGUAGUGGCUUACCAAGGCUUUGACGGGUAGCCGGCCUGAGAGGGUGACCGGCCACAUUGGGACUGAGAUACGGACCAGACUCCUACGGGAGGCAGCAGUGGGGAAUAUUGCACAAUGGGCGGAAGCCUGAUGCAGCAACGCCGCGUGCGGGAUGACGGCCUUCGGGUUGUAAACCGAUUUCGCAUGUGACGAAGCGUGAGUGACGGUAAUGGGUAAAGAAGCAACGGCUAACUACGUG